UGCCGGCCGACACUGCGG
rnacentral:misc_RNA from 1 species